rnacentral:piRNA from 1 species
UGGCCCCAGAUGUUAGUAGCACAGAGGAUU